rnacentral:lncRNA from 1 species
GUUUGUUUUGUUUUGUUUUGUUUGUUUCUUGUUCUUCAUUUAAGGCUCGAAUAGUAAGUGGCAAUGGUUUGGAAGCUUCCAAAUUCUCUGCACUCCAGGCAUUUGGUGGGACAGGGCAGGGACUUUAUGGUAUUGACAGUAUGCCAGAUCUCCGCAGGAAAAAAACUUUGCCUAUUGUACGAGAUGUGGUAAGUUACUCCUGUUUAAUUCUCUUCGGUUGCCUGUGUUGCCUUUUCUCUAUUAUAAUGUAAUAUUGUUCUUCUCAUUAACUGCCUAUGCUAUAAGU